GAAAGCAAAGGGUCAUUUCCAAGGAGGUCAGCUAAGAAGGGGCAAAUCGGCUCAUGUCUCCACCACUGUCUUCUGAGGUAUUGACCAUCACUGACAAGCCAGGCAUUGAUGUCGACUCUUCACAAACACUGGUGUAAGUACCGGAAGAUUGAUCAAGGACACACUCAACUGACAAUGCUCUCUGUAACAGCUUUCUGUCGCCGGGUGUCAGACUACAUUUCCUGCCUAUUUCAACACCAAACAUCAGGUGUGGUUGCCACUACUUCCACCAAAUUCCAAUUAGUUCAUUUUGAAGGAUA